UGAUUCUAUUAGCAAUUUCUGCGGAAAUCGAGGCAUCUCCAGAACCGUUAGCAUCAAAGGGCAGCGCCACUUGCCCGCCGUUCCGAGCCGUCAGCAAGCGAAGCGCUUGAGCGAAAACAGUAGCGCCGUACCCACCGGUACCGCCCGCGCCCCCCCUCUCACCCUUCUUUCUGCACGGAAAAAAAUAAUAAAACACUAAAUUAUAUAUUCUUAAUGUUUAUUAAAUGGUUUUGUAUAGUCUGAGGGCAUUAUAAAACAAGCUCUCAUCGACCCAGUUCCAGUGGCUGCAAAAACAAAUGCUCGAGUUCAAAGCCUAAUGCGAAAAAUUCGCAGAAAUCUGUCAUCGCCUUGUCAACGCUUCGUCAUCGUCAUCCUCAGUGGCAGUGGCAGCACAGGAAGAAGCCAGCGAACCAUGGAGUCACUGAGCCCGAAAAACCAAACUGUCCUGCCCCACCCCUCCCUUCUCUUGGCUUCCCAGUGCCUGGCAAAGUGUGGCUCCAAUUGGCGCUUGACAUGGCCCCGACGACACAACAACAACAACGGACAGACAAGCGGACAAGCGGCCAAACGGACGGACAAACGUAAAUAUUGUUCCAUCAAAAAUCUGAGCAACGUUUGCUGAUUUACACGUUGAUGCCUUUGCUGCCGUCGCCGUUGUCACUGUCGGCGAUCAUAUCAAAGCGGCCGGCAUACAGAUAAGCAAGAGUGUAGGAGUUUGGGAGCUAAAUAAAAAAUAAAAAGGACUGCCAAAGGCUUCAACAACUGAAGGCGAGGGGAGCUUGGCGACAGUGGAAAGCCAAAGUCUCCGAUCCUGACCAAUCUCUGGCGACAUAAACUGGCGUCUAUCCAAUUGCUGUCUCCAUGCCCUCUGAUGAACGAAGAAUCGCCCGCAUUUCGGACCAACGCUUUUCUGGCCGUGUGUCUGCGGACAACCGCUUAGAUGGAGAGCUCGAGAGCUGGACAAACGGAUGCUUGGAAGGAUGACUGGGGAAUUGGAUGCUCCGAUUGUUGUUGCUGCGAGCGGACGGAAGCUAUCGGCCAGGCGGAAGUGAACGGCCGCCGUUGGCGUUUUGGCCACGUGAUCGGAAGGAAGCGCAACUUGCGAAUUGAAACAUCCG